rnacentral:rRNA from 1 species
AACGAACGCUGGCGGCAGGCUUAACACAUGCAAGUCGAACGAGAUCUUCGGAUCUAGUGGCAGACGGGUGAGGAACACGUGGGAACAUCCCUUUCAGUUCGGAAUAACGUUGGGAAACUAACGCUAAUACCGGAUACGUCCUUCGGGAGAAAGAUUUAUCGCUUAAAGAUUGGCCCGCGUCUGAUUAGCUAGUUGGUGAGGUAACGGCUCACCAAGGCUACGAUCAGUAGCUGAUCUGAGAGGAUGAUCAGCCACAUUGGGACUGAGACACGGCCCAAACUCCUACGGGAGGCAGCAGUGGGGAAUAUUGGACAAUGGGCGCAAGCCUGAUCCAGCCAUGCCGCGUGAGUGAUGACGGCCUUCGGGUUGUAAAGCUCUUUUGUCCGGGAAGAUAAUGACUGUACCGGAAGAAUAAGCCCCGGCAAACUUCGUGCCAGCCGCCGCCGUAA